UGGGGGGCCAUUUAUUUUAACUUUAUUUUGUCCCAUCUUUUCUUCCUGGUCUUUUACACUCGUAUAAAACGUACGAAGUUCCUUUUUACUCUUCCCUGAAACACAAAAUUGCCCCCUUUCCUUCUCACCUUAGACAAAGAAUGUCUAUGAACAAUGACUAUUCUUUGCCUUAGCUUGAUUUUCCACCCAUCGGUUACAGAAAGACUUAGCGGAUGCAAAACCAGGGCCGACUAAUACUAUUUUUCACUUGGAUUCAAAUUACUAUAUUUUUGGAAUCCUAAUCGAGGCUCCUCUAUUUUUAAAUCAGCAGGAAUCUUGUUCCCACAUUUCUCUCAGAAGUAGUCCUGAAAUAGGUACUCCAUCACUCCGCCACUGCCGGAACCACUCUUACAAGACAGCAUCGAGUAACUACCAAGAAACAGUAUGAAACCAAAAUCAAAGCUUCAUACAAGUAUAAAAAAUUUGGUUCUUGCUAAAGCAGCCCAAGCAUGUACUAGGAAUAAUAAUACAGUGCAAGAUCUGAAUCUUGGAGAAGACAAUAACAUAAAUGAAACAGUUCUUCGGAAAGCAACAGAGGCUGAUAAAGAAAGAAAGCGUGAAAAAGCUCGGUUAAAGAGACAACGUAAAAAAGAAGCAAGAGCUAAGAGUAUAAAAAAGGAUGUGUCUGAGGCCAAAAAAUUAGCUUUGAAUUAUCUUCACGAAUGGAACACUUCACGGAAUACAUGGAGCUUCAAAAAGAAGCAGCAGUUCUGGUUACUUAGCAAUAUAUUUAAUAUUAACACUAUUUCAGAGAAUGAUUUUGAAAUAUUGUUACUGUAUAUAACUGAUCUCAAGGGAGGAGCAAAAUCUAGAUUAAAUGACAUUGCUGAAAAUAUUCUGAAAGACUAUGAAGAAAAGUCAAAAAAUUCCAUGGAGUACUUGGCCUUUGUUCUCCACUUAGCCCUUUUACAUUAGAUGCAGAUAAAAACUGGCAAGAUGACCUUUUCUUAUGAAAGUCACCAUCACAGGUAGGACUGUCAAAAAGGUGAAGCUGAUUUUACAGUUUUUGAAAGAGCUAGAAGAGUUCUUCAAGUGUUAAUUUAGCAGUUAUUUAAAUAUGUAGAUAACACCUCAUUGUAAAUAUUUAAAUUUUUAAAA